GGGCCCGUAGUCUAAUGGCUAGGACGUCGCUUUGACGUGGCGAAGACGAGAGUUCAAUUCUCUCCGGGCCCA
rnacentral:tRNA from 1 species